UGACGAGUUCCAAACAGGACGAAACGCGCGUCCUGGAU
rnacentral:hammerhead_ribozyme from 1 species